UACGUAGGGGGCAAGCGUUGUCCGGAUUUAUUGGGCGUAAAGAGCGUGUAGGCGGCUAGAUAGGUCCGUUGUGAAAACUGGAGGCUCAACCUCCAGCUGUCGAUGGAAACCAUCUGGCUAGAGUCCGGAAGAGGAGAGUGGAAUUCCUGGUGUAGCGGUGAAAUGCGCAGAUAUCAGGAAGAACACCCGUGGCGAAGGCGGCUCUCUGGGACGUGACUGACGCUGAGACGCGAAAGCGUGGGGAAGCGAACAGGG
rnacentral:rRNA from 1 species